rnacentral:rRNA from 1 species
UACGAAGGGUGCAAGCGUUACUCGGAAUUACUGGGCGUAAAGCGUGCGUAGGCGGUUCGUUAAGUCUGAUGUGAAAGCCCUGGGCUCAACCUGGGAAUGGCAUUGGAUACUGGCGACCUAGAGUGCGGUAGAGGGGUGUGGAAUUCCCGGUGUAGCAGUGAAAUGCGUAGAUAUCGGGAGGAACAUCUGUGGCGAAGGCGACACCCUGGACCAGCACUGACACUGAGGCACGAAAGCGUGGGUAGCAAACGGG